ACAUCGCUAUUAGAACAUCCUCCUCCCCCGCGCUGCAGGGACCGCACGGCCAUGGUUAUGGAGUUAAGCCACGCAGCGCCAGCAUCCCUUGGAAAGUUUUCCUUCCCCAAAGGCAGCAAGCAGCAGAAGAAAGCGCGGCUUGUGUGGCUGAUGAAGCCAGCCUUUCUGAGAUGUGAUUAAAACCUUUCUCUGAAAGCAUAUGGCUCUACUGCCCUGAAAACUGACCUUGGGAGUGCUUUAAAGAGAGAUGAAAAUGAGAUGGCCUUA